AUAUAGUAAUAAUUUAAGAUAUUUUUUACAGGUUCCUCUACUCGAUUAAUUCAGAAACUAACUUUAUCUGUACGACCUAAAAUAAAGUGAAAGGAUCUUUGGAGAAUAAAGACAUCCGGCCACGUUAAACUGGAUUACGAGAACAGUAUUUAAUGUAACAUAUGUUUAUGUUAAGCCAAAAUAUUGGACAUUUAUUAUAUUGCUUAUAUAUUUACUAUAUAUUAAACUGUUUAUUGAUACAUAAGAGUCACCGCAGUUAAAAAGCCGCAAUUUUUAAAUCACAAUGCCUUUCUUAAGUUUAACAUUUAAUACUUAAACUACAUUUUUUGUUUAAAUUUUAAAUUCAAUAAAAAAUGGUGACUUUUGUACAUAUUAUGGUAAACGAUGGAAUGUUAAGUUUUUUGUAUGGUUUUUUUUAUAUAUAAAAAGGGCACAUGAAUUUGUAGAUGCCUACCCUUAAUUGACAAAGGAGGGGACGCACAGAAAGUGGAUUUUUCCUUUAAAUAUAAGUCCCCUACUCGGCAAAAUCCACGUCUCGUUCCAUCUCCUCCUCAAAAGGGAAUAAGGAAUAUGUUUUUUUUCCUGUAAACAUUGCCGUUGAUGCAUUAUAGUAAAUAUUUGCUAUUUAAAUGUUCAAAUUAAAAAUAAUCUCAAUAUACAUAUUAUAUACAUUAUUAUAGAAUUUGUAGAUGGUUUAAAUAUGUGUGGUGUUACAAAAAUGCGUAAAAAGUUCGUACGUUAAAUAGUUGUUGUUUGUAGUCAUUAUAUUAAGGAAACAGUCAUAAGCUUCGAGCUUGGCUUAUUUAAAUUCGCUAUAACAUUUUAAAUUCGCAUUAUUUGAAGCAUUUAGCCUUAAAAAUAAUAUAAAAAUGACUGCCAACAUCUUCAUACAUAAUGCAAAUCAUAAAGUACAUUUAAUGCAUAAUGUUUAGUUCGUGAUUUUUCAUUAUUUUUUCGCUUUUAUUAGGUUUUAAGACGUAAUAUCAUGAUAUUAAGGGAACAUUCCAUAAUCAGUUAUUAAAGAUAUGUUUGACAUAUCUUACUAAUUUCAUUACUAUUUUGCUACAGAAUAAAUUUUAGUUUAAAUAAAAUAGGUGUAGAGAGUUUAGCCUCGAAAUAUGAACAAAAUACUUUCCAAGUAAAAAUGCUGGUUUAAAAAUAUUACAUCUAAUAAGCUAUAGUCACGUUUAUGUUCCUAAGUUAUAUUUAAUUUCACUAUUUAUCCAAACAUUUCUAUGUUAAAUUAUGCAAAAGUUUUGUUCACAGCAUUUAUUUUUGUAUGCCUUUUUCGACGUGUCAAUAAUAUAAAGACAAUACAUAGAACUAUAUAGAAAAGCCGUAGCUUUUGUAUUUGUAUGUAGAAACUAUAAUAAGCUUUGUAUGUGAUUUAUAAUAUAUAACUGAAUUAAAAAAAUCUCCCUUCAAAAAAAUCCGCAUUAUUUUGUAAUGCGUUAAAUGAUUUCCCUUGAUUUGUGUUUAGGAUGUUGUAUAUGGUAACCCCGAACAAACAUUAAUGAAUCAAAGAUUAAAACAUAGAUUAAAAAGACCUAAUUAAUUAGGUCUUUCAUAUCAUCUCCAAUAGUUUGUUCAAAUAAUUGCAAAUGACUAAUAAAACAUUUCAAAUUCUGAUUCAAAUAGUUUAAUCCAUGAAAUACUUGCCUUCAUUUUUUUACGUAUUUAAUAUAAGUUAGACAUAAGAAAUACUUUUUGUUUGUAAUAAAAAUGGUAAACUAAAUCAACAUAGUAUUAAUUCAUAUAAUGGCUGUGUUUUGUUAUUAAUAUUUUUGUAAAACCCAAAGAAUCUGCUCCACUAUUUCAAAAUUUUAAUAACCGAGUGUUGACCCAAUAAACAAUUCUUAUACUAAUUGAAAUAAUAUUCCAAAAUAGCAUUUAUUCAAUGUGGAUUUACCUCGUUUAUUGCUCAUUUUAUUUUACUAUUUUGCUUAGACUUGCGUUUAUGCAUGUAAUAUUGAAUGUGACUUUUGUAAAUGUGUAGAAAUUACGUGUCGUUGUUUCUGUUAUUCGUUCGACGAUGUCUGGCAGACACAAAGUGACAAUAAUAAAUUAUUAAAGCAAAA